UUAAAACAAAGUCAACUGCGAAAAACAUCAAUUGCCUAAUAGUAGCCCGAAGUUUUUUGCCCGAUUCCCGCGCCAUCUUGGAUUUAUCAUGAAUGUCACGCUGCCGUCUUAAUAAGUCUUAAAAUACGUCACACUCGUCAGCGAUCUAGUUUUAUUAUAUCUAUGACUUAUAUGUACCUAUAAUUACCUAUAUAUUCAGAGGAUAAAGUAGUUGUCACAGGUAUUUGUUGAAAAGUUUGAGGUUCAUGAGAAAAGGCUUUACAUCACAUGGGAGAAAUGGUCCAAAUAUUGGAUAUGCUACAAUGACCAGAAUAUGCUAAGCCAAUCAUGUUGUACCGAAAUAUGUGUUUGUGUGCUGUAGGGAAAUCCUAUUUAUGCCAUAGUUUUAUUUUUGUUCAAUUUAAUGAAACUCGGGAUUAUGUUCUCGUCGUCAAGAAAGAGCAAAUAUAACAAAUGAAUUAUUUAGAACUAUAGUUGCUCUAGUGAAUUAUUAAAAGACAGAUCACGUA